rnacentral:lncRNA from 7 species
UGAUAAUAAGUCAGCGAUACAGGAGGCAUGAUUUAGUAGAAACAAUAGUUCGACCACACUUUCAUUCUUUAGGGUACAAACUAUGGAUGCCUAAAAAUCGAUCUGACAAACCAUGGUCUAGUCGCAUGGCAUCAGGGGACGAUGUUCAUUCAGUAUUUGCAACUACUCAGAGUUCCCUUUGGGGUUGUGCUAAUAGCAUUCAUUGAAGCAGAAAAAGAAGACUUGUGGUUC